CAGCCGCCGCGGGAAUACGGAGGGGGCUAGCGUUGUUCGGAAUUACUUGGCGUAAAGCGCACGUAGGCGGCUUGGUAAGUUAGAGGUGAAAGCCCGGAGCUCAACUCCGGAAUUGCCUUUAAGACUGCCGAGCUAGUAGGUGAGAGAGGUAAGUGGAAUUCCGAGUGUAGAGGUGAAAUUCGUAGAUAUUCGGAAGAACACCAGUGGCGAAGGCGGCUUACUGGCUCAUUCUAGACGCUGAGGUGCGAAAGCGUGGGGAGCAAACAGGAUUAGAGACCCCAGUAGUCCCUGUCUCUUAUAC
rnacentral:rRNA from 1 species